rnacentral:rRNA from 1 species
CAGCAGCCGCGGUAAUACGUAGGUCCCGAGCAUUGUCCGGAUUUAUUGGGCGUAAAGCGAGCGCAGGCGGUUAGAUAAGUCUGAAGUUAAAGGCUGUGGCUUAACCAUAGUACGCUUUGGAAACUGUUUAACUUGAGUGCAAGAGGGGAGAGUGGAAUUCCAUGUGUAGCGGUGAAAUGCGUAGAUAUAUGGAGGAACACCGGUGGCGAAAGCGGCUCUCUGGCUUGUAACUGACGCUGAGGCUCGAAAGCGUGGGGCGCAAACAGGAUUAGAUACCCGCGUAGUCCCUGUCUCUUAUACA